UACAGAGGUCUCAAGCGUUGUUCGGAUUCAUUGGGCGUAAAGGGUGCGUAGGUGGCGGGGUAAGUCAGGUGUGAAAUCUCGGAGCUCAACUCCGAAACUGCACUUGAUACUGCCUUGCUCGAGUACUGGAGAGGAGAUUGGAAUUUACGGUGUAGCAGUGAAAUGCGUAGAUAUCGUAAGGAAGACCAGUGGCGAAGGCGAAUCUCUGGACAGUUACUGGCACUGAGGCACGAAGGCCAGGGGAGCAAACAGG
rnacentral:rRNA from 1 species